GUUUAGACAACCAAUGAAAAAUUAGGCCUUAUCCUAUCUCUUAUCUUACUCACAGCAAAGCCACCAAAAUAAUUUGUCUACUCUCUCCAUAGUCCAUACAAACCAUUUCUUACUGCCACUCAUCCACUUUCUAACAAAGCAGAAACAGAGAGGAACACAAGACAUUUGAUCAACAAAAAAAGGGGUAAAAUUAUGGCUGCCUCUCUACAAGCAGCUGCUACUCUUAUGCAACCGACAAAGGUUGGUGUUAGAAACAACCUGCAGUUGAGGUCUGCUCAAAGUGUGAGCAAAGCAUUUGGUGUUGAACAAGGUUCAGGCAGGCUUACUUGCUCUUUGCAAACUGAAAUCAAGGAAUUGGCUCAGAAAUGUACUGAUGCUGCCAAGAUUGCUGGUUUUGCUCUUGCCACCUCUGCCCUCGUCGUCUCGGUAAGUUGCUUUUCUAAUUCAAUGCUUGCCUGCUUCAUGUCUAUAUUUCCCAUGUAUCCAGUGCUGUUGC
rnacentral:misc_RNA from 1 species